AUCGGGCAUGGGGGUACUUGUCUGUAACCCAUGCAUCUGGAAGACUGAGUUUGCUGUACUGCUUGAGUAUCGCAGCUCAGUGCUGUGUAGGGCCACGUGGAUCGGAGGUCCCGGUGAUGGUCGGCAUCAACAUGGUACUUCCGGUGCAACCCAGGAGCACUGGGUCAGCUCGACAGGAGUGAACCAACCGCAGGCCGGUGACGGAGCAGGUGACAACUCCCGCGCUGAGUUGUCUGUGCGCAGCCUUCGAGAGUGGAUGCUGCGUUGCUGCAUGGACAAGAUGGCAGGGUGCUGCCUUU
rnacentral:SRP_RNA from 1 species